AGUCUAGAAAUUUGGGCAAUGGACGAAAGUCUGACCCAGCGACGCCGCGUGAGGGAUGAAGUCUCUCGGGAUGUAAACCUCUGUUGAGGGGAACGAUAAUGACGGUACCCCUCGAGGAAGCCUCGGCUAACUCCGUGCCAGCAGCCGCGGUAAUACGGGGGAGGCAAGCGUUGUCCGGAAUCACUGGGCGUAAAGGGUGUGUAGGUGUCCUGGUGGGUCAAGUGUGAAAUCCAACAGCUUAACUGUUGAAGUGCACAUGAAACUAUCGGGAUUGAGGACAUGAGGGGAGAGCGGAACUCGCGGUGUAGCGGUAGAAUGCGUGGAUAUCGCGAGGAAUGCCGAUGGCGAAGGCGGCUCUCUAGUAUGUUUCUCGUAUGAGAAGCUGAAUAAUUUUAAUCUUCGGGUUUUGAUUAAUCGGUCCUGACACUGAAACACGAAAGCUGGGGGAGCGAACGGGAUUAGAUACCCCGGUAGUCCCAGCCCUAAACGAUGUACACUUGGCAUGCGCUAUAUUUGUGCGUGCCGUAGGUAACCUGUUAAGUGUACCGCCUGGGGAGUACGCUCGCAAGGGUGAAACUCAAAGGAAUUGACGGGGACCCGCACAAGCGGUGGAGGAUGUGGUUCAAUUCGAGGCAACGCGAAGAACCUUACCUGGGCUUGACAUGCUGAUAGUACUGAACCGAAAGGUGACGGAUUCCACCUCUGGUGGAAAGUCAGCACAGGUGCUGCAUGGCUGUCGUCAGCUCGUGCCGUGAGGUGUUAGGUUAAGUCCUGCAACGAGCGCAACCCCUUCUCUUAGUUGCCAUUUUGUCUUCGGAUGAAGGCACUCUAAGAGGACUGCCGCAGAUAAUGUGGAGGAAGGAGGGGAUGAUGUCAAGUCAUCAUGGUCUUUAUGUCCAGGGCUACACACGUCCUACAGUGCUUACUACAACGGGAAGCAAUACCGUAAGGUGGAGCAAAUCCUUAAAGAUAAGCAUGGUUCGGAUUGAGGGCUGCAAUUCGCCCUCAUGAAGAAGGAAUCGCUAGUAAUCGCAGAUCAGCUUGCUGCGGUGAAUACGUUCUCGGGUCUUGUACACACCGCCCGUCAAGCCAUGGAAGUUCGCAAUACCUGAAGUCUCUCUUUAGAGGGCCCAAGGUAGGGUGGAUGACUGGGGCU
rnacentral:rRNA from 1 species